rnacentral:rRNA from 1 species
GACGUAGGGCGCGAGCGUUGUCCGGAUUUAUUGGGCGUAAAGAGCUCGUAGGCGGCUUGUUACGUCGUUCGUGAAAACUUGGGGCUCAGCUCCAAGCUUGCGGUCGAUACGGGCAGGCUAGAGUUCGGUAGGGGAGACUGGAAUUCCUGGUGUAGCGGUGAAAUGCGCAGAUAUCAGGAGGAACACCGGUGGCGAAGGCGGGUCUCUGGGCCGAUACUGACGCUGAGGAGCGAAAGCGUGGGGAGCGAACAGG